rnacentral:lncRNA from 1 species
GGAGACACUGAACCCAAGGGGAGGAGGGCAAGAAGAAAAGAAAACAAUUUGGUCUCUUCUGGGGAGAAGUUACACAGAGUGUCCUGAAAACAGAGACCUUUUAUCUAGUCAAGAUAGGAUUUGAGAGUGGAAAUAUGAAGGUGUUGUAGGAGGGAAAGUGUGUCUUGGUGACAAGUUUCUGAAGAAGAGCUGCAGAGGAGGAGAUUGUCUACAUACUGUAUGAGAUGAGAGGAAGAUGGGUGAAAGAAGAGUAAAUCAUCCCCAAGGACCUAACCAGAACAGUGGGGACUGUCCCAAAAGCCCUGAGAGCUCUAUGUGUCAGAAGCAAGUGGCCAAGUCAAUCCCCAUUUCAAGGAGGAAAGAAUGAAGCCUCUUCCCAGAGGGCAGAGCAUCAAAGAAUUGACACCCAGAUGUUAGAACCACCACAGCAACGACCGCACAUUUGUGGGAGAUGCCUUGAUGUUACACAGAUAUCCCGCUUCAU